CAGACAUGGAGACUAAAUGUCUAACUGCUCAAAUAAAUUUAAUUAAAAUACCAUGACUUUUACAGAGAUGAAAAGAUAGAAAAGAUGGAACUAAGUCUACAAGCAGGAGAGCUGGCCUUGGUAAGGUCCAGAAACCAACUCAACACAAUGGGCAUAAAGAAAGAACACACAGGCACAAGUUUGGAGGAUGACGCUACAGAUCUGGAGGUCUUGUAUCUCUCCAUACUGGUAUGUCAAGAUGACAACCAAGAUGAGCCAUCAGAAGUAAUGACCAGGAACUAGUUUAUUCUGAAACCUACCCACUGCUCCAUCUUUCAAUACGGUGGGGAGUGAUGGUACUGGAGGAGGUGACAGUGACGUCAGAGCUGGGAGGAGCAGGGCAAGAGUGUUUAAUCCAGUUUUUCUAACUCCUGUAUUCCAGUGCUUGCCUCCAUUGUCCACGUUCUCCUGGGCUAGAAGCAGGCUUUGGCACAGUGUUGGAUAACUGGCCUACUGCAAUUUCUAAAUGGAGAAUGUUCCUUGGGCUCUUGGCAUUGGCAUCUUACACCUCCCACUUCAAAAAAACACACCGAAAACCUACUGAUUGAUGGGAGCUAUGCCCUGGUUUCUCUUUGGUAAUUCUCUUUAAAGGAAGGGCACUCUGAUACCUAUGGAGAUGUUUUCUGCGUUCUCUUGAUACAGCGUUUUUAAUGUUUAAAUAUUGAGACUUCUGGGACUAUUUUAUGCCUUUCUGGGACUAUUUCAGAUUUGGCUGGAAACUUGCCCUGGUCCUCACCCCUGCUUCCCCAUUCUCUGUUCUUGUUCAGUGGAGAAAGAAACAAAGGUUUGAGAUCAGGGACUAUGUACUCCUUAUUGUGUCCCUGAUCCUGAGCACUCCUCCCUAACACAGAAGACAAAUACGUUUUGAGGACUGGCAAAAUGGCUUGUGAAGAAAUGGUGCUUGCUGUCAAGCUUGGCAGCUCAAGCUCAAUCCUUGGGCCUCACGUGGCAGAGGGAGAGAAACAACUCUCAAAAGUUGAAAAGUUGCCCCCUGAGCGCCACACCCACACCAGAGCAUGCCCUCCCAAACACAUACCACAAAUAAACAAGUAAACAGAGUUAAUAUUUUAAAUAAA
rnacentral:lncRNA from 1 species